rnacentral:rRNA from 1 species
UACGUAGGGUGCAAGCGUUAAUCGGAAUUACUGGGCGUAAAGCGUGCGCAGGCGGUUGUGUAAGUCUGACGUGAAAUCCCCGGGCUUAACCUGGGAAUGGCGUUGGAGACUGCACGGCUAGAGUGUGUCAGAGGGGGGUAGAAUUCCACGUGUAGCAGUGAAAUGCGUAGAGAUCCGGAGGAACCCCAGAGGCGAAGGCGAUGCCCUGGCUCGUACCUGACGCUCAGCCACGAAAGCAUGGGGAGCGAACGGG